UAUUACAUUUUUUUUUUCGACUGUGCCUGACUGAAUUCUACCUAACAUCUUAUUCCGUAUUUUGUUUUUUGUUUUUUGGUUUUUUUUGGUUGUUGUUGUUUUAAUGGGAGACUUGGGGUAUAGUUCCAUGGUGAAGUGCACCAAGGUCCCGGAGUUUCAAUCCCUAGCACUACCCAAAACAAAACAAAACAAAACUAAACUAACCACUUUCUGCCCCUUGUGGUAGUAAGGCCCUAGGCACUAUGCCUGGCCACACCCACUUGCUGGCAACCCUCAACCUCUCUUCCUGUGAGUCAAUCAGAGUAGGCUGGCUGGCUAAGAAGCCUGUUUCAAUCUUCUGGGCCCUGGGAUUAUAACUGUACACCACAACUCCCAGGGUUUUACACAAGACAUGAAACUCAGAUCCCGGUAGCUGCAAGGCCAGUGAGUACGUGACCUACUAAGGCUUCUUCCCAGUCCCGGGCUUCCUGUUCUUAACUGGAAGCACAGCAACAGAAGGGGUCUGGUUGUGACAUCUCUCAGCACACCUCUGGAGCCUUGCCAACCCCCGUGGCAAUGGCUGUACACGCCUUGUACACGCCCACAGCCUUUCAGUCUCUCUGCUCCCCUCUGGCAUACCCUUGUCUGUCUCCUGGAUGGGUUUCGUGACCUGUUGUAUAUUUGCCAAGGCUUAAAUGUCCCCGGGGGGGGGGGGAAAUCUCAGGUGGAAAUUUAGUCCCCAUGAUGAAGGAUGAUGAGGUGAAACCAGGUGGGACCAGGUGGACCUUGAAGAGGUGACUAUGUCCCAAGGGACUCACUGUGUGGCCCUAGUCCAUUCACGAUUCACUCAGGAAUAGAUCCAUUCGUUAUCCUGAGUGUAGGUCUGGUGUCAAAGCCAGCUAGUGCUGGUUUUUGGAUGUGGUCCCUUUGCCAGAGGAAGCCCUGCAUCCCUUGGAUUCUGCAGAGAGUCUCCACCAGCAAGGAGGCUUUUGUCAGAUGCAGCUUCUGACCUUGAAUUCCACAACCCUGUAGACUGUACGUGGAAUAAACUUGUACUCUAUAUAAAUGGCCCAGUCUGCCAUUCAGUGAUAGAAACAGAAAAUGAACCAAAGCAUCUUCCCCCUUAGUGGCUCCGUACCAGGGUGUCUGGAGGGUGACUUUAUAAAUCUGCCCUCCCCCAUGUGGACUGAUGCCUUUCUAAGAAGUCCCACUGUCCUUCAGAAUCUUGGAGGUGUGUUGUGGUCUAACAGCUUCAUGCUGUGCUGUGAUGUCAGUAUGCGACUAUAUAGGUCACUGGUACACUUGACUGUUGAUGCCACCUUUUUUUUUUUUUAAGAUUUAUUUAUUCAUUAUUUAAGUACACUGUAGCUGUCUUCAGACACACCAGAAGAGGGCAUCAGACCUCAUUACAGUUGGUUGUGAGCCACCAUGUGGUUGCUGGGAUUUGAAUUCAGGACCUCUGGAAAAGCAGUCAGUGCUCUUAACCACUGAGCCCUCUCUCCAGCCCGACGCCACCUUCUUGGCUACAGCCUGUGGAUGCAAUCUAUCUGGGUCUUUCUGGAAAAGUUUAAGUUUGGGCUGCAAAGAUUUGAGACUUUAUGAGCACACCUUCUAAGCAAGUUUAAGCUUAGUCCACGGAGCCAGCCCUCAAAGGGCCUGACCUUUCUUAUUUCUCUUUUUGGUGUAUAGGUUUCUUUUUUUUUUUUUUAAGAUUUAUUAUAUAUAAGUACACUGUAGCUGUCUUCAGAUACACCAGAAGAGGACAUCGGAUCUCCUCACAGAUGGUUGUGAGCCACCAUGUGGUUCCUGGGAAUUGAACUCAGGACCUCUGGAAGAGCAGUUGGGGCUCUUAACCGCUGACCCAUCUCUCCAGCCCCUGGUGUAUGGGUUUCUUGCCACAUUUAUGUAUUGUACCACAUCUGUGCCUGGUGCCCACAGAGGCGAGAAGAGGGCAUUGGAAUCCUAGAACUGAAGUUAAGGAUGGCUGUGAGAAUUGAACCCAACUCCACUGAAAGAGCAGCUAGUGCCCCCCCUUUUUUAAAACAUUUAUUUAUUUUAUAUAUAUGAGUAUAAUGUAGCUGUCUUCAGACACACCAGAAGAGGGCAUCAGAUCUCAUUACAGAUGGUUGUGAGCCACCAUGUGGUUGCUGGGAACUGAACUCCAGACCUUAGGAAGAGCAGUCAGUGCUCUUAACCACUGAACCAUCUCUCCAGCCCCCAUUUUUUUAAAAAUAUUUAUUUUUGGAGUCUCCUGAUAAUCUAGGCUGACCUUGAACUCAUGCUCUUUUAUCCUGACCUCUCAAGUGCUGGGGCUACAGGCAUCCAUCAGCUCCUGCCCACCUUGGUUUUUUUUUUUUUUUUUUUGGUUACCGUUUCCGGACUUCUAUUUCCUCACUUCUCUUUCUGGAAUACCUGUUACUCAGAGCCCUGGACUUCCGGUGUUGCUCUCCUCACUCUCUGUUCUUGCUUAGUUCUUCUGUUUCACUUCUUUAGUCCCCUCCCUCCCCCAGAGGUUUCUUCUGGACUUCACUGAGGGUUUCAAUUCUGCUUUUCCGUUUGCUUUCAGUCAUUGUCCAUUUCUAUCUUAAGAGCACACUGUCUUACCUUCUGAAGAGGCCAGUGGUUUUUUUUUUUUUUUUUUUCCGGAGCUGGGGACCGAACCCAGGGCCUUGCGCUUCCUAGGCAAGCGCUCUACCACUGAGCUAAAUCCCCAACCCCGUUUUUUUUUUUUUUUAUUUACUUUCUUUUAAACAUUUAUUUUAUAUAUGAGGUCAGUGAAGAGCUUGCCAAAUUUGGGUCUCUCCUUCCAUCCAGUAGGUUCUGGGGACCAAAUUCAGGCUUAGUAGUGAAAAGAAAAUUAUACAAAUUCUAGGUUUAGAAAUAUAAAAUUAAAAGAGUUAGCCCCAAAAGCCACAAACUCAGGGCUAAGCCCUGCCGCCAGGAAUAGCAGGCCAUAAAGAUAAAGAAAAGGAAUGCAAGAACCAGCUCAGGCUAUCGAGGACUGAGCCAUAAACCAUCCAAAGACAUCCCCCCAGCUUACUCAGAGUCAUACUUUAACCAGAUGUCCUCCAGACCCUGAUAAGCCCCUACUUGUGCUUUUCAGCCAUUGUGUCCUACAGAGAGCAUUCCAAGAAACCGGACAGCCCAAGCCUAACCAGAGGUGUUUCAAAUACAAAUGCUCCAUCAGUUUUGACAAACGUUUAAAAAUAAUGAGGACCUGAAGACCCUACCCUUCUCCUGAUUUAGUAGCUCUGUUCCAGGAACCAGGGGGCCAUAAAACCUUCUGGCGUCCCCUUAUCUCCUGGAGCCAUAAAACAAUCUUGUAACUUGUGGUACAUUCCCCUUUGACAUCCCCCAUCCCCUGGUGCUCACAGCCUCUGCCUUUAAAUACUCUUUUUCCCAGCCUCUCGGGGUCGACACCUCUGUCUCCUGCGUGGGAUAUGUGUCGGCCCGGAGAUCUCUGUAAUAGGUCUCCGUAAUAAACCUCGCCUUUGCUUAUUACAUCCAAAAUGGUCUCUCUGUGUCUGGGGUCCGCGAUUUCCCAAGACUUGAGUAAGGGUCUCUCUGCGUGGGAUCUUUCAUAAUAAUGGGGGCUCGUCCGGGAUCUGCGCGACUACCCCAGACUCCGAAGACCCCUUGGAGGCUAAAAGACCUACAGGUGAUACAGAAAGAAAUCUGCUCACAGCUGACAGCAGCCUAUGCCCCGGAGACCCCUGAGACAUCCCAUCAGUUCCAGGUCGGAAGCAGCUACACUGAGCCCAGACACUCGAUCCUCGCUGGAAAGGACCAUACCUGGUGCUGCUGACCACCCUGACAGCCGUCAAUUCUCAGCCCUCACCAGCCGUGUACUAGCUGUUAGGGCUGAGAGCUGGGACCUAGAGAGAAAUUCAGUCAUGUUUGUCCUGGGUUCCAUCGAGAUAGGUGUGGGGAUAGGCUUGAUUUCUAUUACAAAUAAUGUAACAUUACAUAUGUUAGUACUACUAACACUUCUUGGGACUGUGCCUCAGGGAUCACAACCUAUAUAAGUUUAGAAGUUCUGAAAGACAGUCAUGACCUUGGUGUAUAGGUUCAGAUAGUGUCCAGAUUGGAAUCCUGAUGCUAAAGACUUAGUAAGAGACAAAAAAAAGGAGUUGAGAAUUACUUAGGGCUAGGGCUAUCCAGGUGCUACAAGGGCAGCACAAGGACAUCUGCUGUUGCCCUACAAUACAAGGCUUAUAGAGAAUUCAGAACUGCCAUUGACUCAGAUAUAAAAAGAGUAAAAGACUUUUUAGCUGACCUCCAAGAAUACCUAACUUCCCUCUCAGAGGUAGUCCUUCAAAAUAAAAAAAGAUCAGACCUGAUAUUCCUUAAAGAAGGAAUCUGUGUGCUACACUGAAAGAAAAAUGUUGUUUCUAUACAGACCAUUCAGGAGUAAUUAAAGACUCCAUAAAUAAACUUAAAAAAAGGUUAGACAAAAGACAGAGAGACAGAGAAGUACAUCAGAGAUGGUUUGAGAGCUGGUUUAAUAGAUCUCCUUAGAUAACUACUCUGAUAUCUUCCCUUAUGGGACCCUUCUUAGUUUUGCUUCUGCUUCUGAUUAUAGGUCCAUGUGUGUUAAAAAAAAAAAAAAAAAACAACAACUAUUUAAUAGGCUUGACUCUUACAUUUUGAUAGAGACGCUUAACAAGGUUGGUUUGAGUCUUGGUUCACUCGGUCUCCCUGGAUGACUACCCUACUCUCUGCUACAGCUGGGCCAUUAUUAAUAAUUUUCUUGGUUUUAGUUUUUGGCUCCUGCGUGACAAACAGGUUAAUUGCUUUUGUUAAAAAUUGAGUGGGUGCUGUGCGGUUGAUGGUUGUGAGACAACAGUACCAGUCAGUUAGGACAACUGGUGAGACCAAAUAAGACUUGAUAUCAAAAUUCUAAGAUUAGAAUUAUUUAGUAGGAGAAGACGGGAAUGAAAAGAAAAUUAUACAAAUUCUAGGUUUAGAAAUAUAAAAUUAAAAGAGUUAGCCCCAAAAGCCACAAACUCAGGGCUAAGCCCUGCCGCCAGGAAUAGCAGGCCAUAAAGAUAAAGAAAAGGAAUGCAAGAACCAGCUCAGGCUAUCGAGGACUGAGCCAUAAACCAUCCAAAGACAUCCCCCCAGCUUACUCAGAGUCAUACUUUAACCAGAUGUCCUCCAGACCCUGAUAAGCCCCUACUUGUGCUUUUCAGCCAUUGUGUCCUACAGAGAGCAUUCCAAGAAACCGGACAGCCCAAGCCUAACCAGAGGUGUUUCAAAUACAAAUGCUCCAUCAGUUUUGACAAACGUUUAAAAAUAAUGAGGACCUGAAGACCCUACCCUUCUCCUGAUUUAGUAGCUCUGUUCCAGGAACCAGGGGGCCAUAAAACCUUCUGGCGUCCCCUUAUCUCCUGGAGCCAUAAAACAAUCUUGUAACUUGUGGUACAUUCCCCUUUGACAUCCCCCAUCCCCUGGUGCUCACAGCCUCUGCCUUUAAAUACUCUUUUUCCCAGCCUCUCGGGGUCGACACCUCUGUCUCCUGCGUGGGAUAUGUGUCGGCCCGGAGAUCUCUGUAAUAGGUCUCCGUAAUAAACCUCGCCUUUGCUUAUUACAUCCAAAA